UCCGCGCUGCGCACUCGCUGUCGGCGAGACGCCGGCGUCCUUGUGUCUGCCACAUUCAUACGAGCAAAAAAGUUAGGCCCGAAUAUUGCGAUAUCACUGUUGGAUCGUUUAAAAACGCGAUAUUGCUCUACUCAUUCCUGGAAAAGACGACGGGAUAGCAACGGUUCAUGUGCCGCUACGGAAUUGGAGCAGCAAUGAAAAAGAGAAGCUCUUUUUUAACAGUGCUGAGUCAGAGAUGCCAACAUGCUGCAGCCUUGCUUUUUGCCGUACGCAGUGUCCAGACGCCUUCAUGCACAGGCACAUCCUGCAGAUGGAUUGCACCAGCGCAAUGUCAAAACCAGCUACCAACGCGUCCUCUGGCAGACAUCACCUUCAAAAAGCACGUUGUAAACAAGACUGUGCCGGCAAAGUCGAAGCGGCAACUUCCACCUUCCCCCCUGGCACCACGAUCUUCGGACAUCCAAGAGUUUUCAAAGAAUGUUGCUGAUGAUGCCUCACACCUUGUUUGGAAUCGAUACAGCAGAAGCAAGCCUCUACCUGCACGGAACAUUAGUGCAAUUUCGGAUAAGGAAGACCUGCAUUCUGAAAAAUGCUGUUCACUAGUCAAGGAGUACUUCGAACGGCUGGUGCCACUAACAGAUGCCGCAAGGAAUGAAAUAUGCAAAAAGACUAUUGGGCAAAGCCAAAAUCCAGAAUGUGUAUCGGUAUGCUGAUAACAGCCUAGCGCGUAGCAUAUCUAAUCUUAACCUUGAGCGACUUCACGUGGUCCUGUUUGUACGUGUCCUCCCCAUUGUGUGUGUGUAUAUAUUCGCGAUUCCAAUGAACUAUAGGUGGCGCCGCGAACUUCCAAGAUGGCGGACGAAAGGACGUCUCCCGAGCGAAGCAAGCGUAUUCGGCAAGGUGUCGGCCUAAUUAUGUUCAUCUGUUUCAGUUUUUAAUACCCACAAAUGAGCACGUUUCAUGAAAAAGGAAUGAACUUUAUCAUCUGGUCAUCUCAUACUGUGCAGUUCAACUCAGAGAAGUAGGCAAAAAGUUCCCGUCCUCGAAGUUUGUUUACAAACGUCGGGAGUCGAGUGAACAAAGGAGGCAUUUUAGAAUCUAAGAAGGCAAAGCAGGGAUAUGUUUCCAAGAAGAGUGACAUUUCAUGUGUUUUCGAAUGUGGAUUACUAGUCUACAAGCAAUACCAUGUUUGAGUUUCUCCUCCGAUAGUCCCUCGUAUUUACGUGUGAGUGUUGCAAUCAAGGGAACAACAGCUCCGUUGGAAGUGUAGUGUCUCUAUUAAUUGAUACUUUUUGUCGGAACAUAGAGAAGUAAUCAUAAAAUUGUAAUGCACAAGUUAGCGUUCACAUGGGCAUUUGCAACAGCUCAAGAUAACACUUAUUUCCUUUGUUUCUUGUGGUGACGAUAGCGUGCUCGUUAGCUUUGACCCUGAUGUUUUCAGAACUCUGUGACUGUAUGUCAAAGGUAUACGUGAACAAUACAUAUUUUGAAAAUGC